ACGCUCGACACCUACGGGAGACAGCAGUGGGGAAUAUUGCACAAUGGGGGAAACCCGUGAUGCAGCGACGCCGCGUGAGCGAAGAAGUAUUUCGGUAUGUAAAGCUCUAUCAGCAGGGAAGAAAAUGACGGUACCUGACUAAGAAGCCCCGGCUAACUACGUGCCGGCAGCCGCGGUAAUCUGAGCGGGCUGGCAAGGC
rnacentral:rRNA from 1 species